rnacentral:rRNA from 1 species
AAGUUAAAAAGUGUAACAAGGUCUCCGUUGGUGAACCAGCGGAGGGAUCAUUACCGAGUUUACAACUCCCAAACCCCUGUGAACAUACCACUUGUUGCCUCGGCGGAUCAGCCCGCUCCCGGUAAAACGGGACGGCCCGCCAGAGGACCCCUAAACUCUGUUUCUAUAUGUAACUUCUGAGUAAAACCAUAAAUAAAUCAAAACUUUCAACAACGGAUCUCUUGGUUCUGGCAUCGAUGAAGAACGCAGCAAAAUGCGAUAAGUAAUGUGAAUUGCAGAAUUCAGUGAAUCAUCGAAUCUUUGAACGCACAUUGCGCCCGCCAGUAUUCUGGCGGGCAUGCCUGUUCGAGCGUCAUUUCAACCCUCAAGCACAGCUUGGUGUUGGGACUCGCGUUAAUUCGCGUUCCCCAAAUUGAUUGGCGGUCACGUCGAGCUUCCAUAGCGUAGUAGUAAAACCCUCGUUACUGGUAAUCGUCGCGGCCACGCCGUUAAACCCCAACUUCUGAAUGUUGACCUCGGAUCAGGUAGGAAUACCCGCUGAACUUAAGCAUAUCA